rnacentral:lncRNA from 10 species
AGCGAAAGGCCUCAAUUUCCUGUCCUCUGCUUACUGCCCCUUUUUUUGCCUGCGAAUGGCGGCGAUUUGAAGUUGGGGCUUUUCGUUUCCUCCAAAACAUUGAUAUCUGGAAAGGGAGCCCCUUAACACUUUUGGAGGGAACUGGCUGCAGCAUUUGGCGGGGAGAGAUAAACUGGUUUCCCACCUCUGCUUACUCCCACCUUCUCCCCUUAAUCUUCUCUUCCUCUGUGCGAGACUUUUUUCCUUUUUUAUUGUAGACACAGGGUCUUUGUUCUGCUGCCCAGGUUGGAGUGCAGUGGCGUGAUCAUAGCUCACUGCAGCCUCAACCCCCCGGGCCCAAGCGAUCCUUCCACCUCAGCCUCCCGAGUAGCUGGGCCUAGAGGUGCACACCACCAUGCCUGGCUAAUUUUUAAUUUUUUUUGUAGAGAUGGAGCCUUUCUAUGUUGCCAAGCCUAGCCUCGAACUCCUGGCCUCCCAAAAUGUGGGGAAUACAGGCGUGAGCCACUGCACCCCGGGUCAUUCCUCUUUUACUUCCUUGCUGUACCCCAACUAUCCUUCCCCCUCGGUGCCCUUAAAACCUUUGCAUUGGGACUUAACGGUAAUAGAAUGGCAUUCCUCACUGCCUCCGAACCACUCAAGCUGCUGCCCAUGCACUCUCUUCUGCAUGGCUCCUGGACUAAGCAGCCUCCCUUUGAUUAAGCAGAAUUCCUAACACUUUACAGAAAACACAACAGACCUAAGGAAAUGAAGCAGCU